rnacentral:lncRNA from 1 species
UUCUUUGAGUAUUGAAAUUGUAAAAUAAAUAGAGGCCUCAUAAAAUUUUUUUUACCUAAGGUCCCAAACACUCUAAAGCCGGCCCUGAUAAUAUUCAUCCACGGUGACUUUACUCGAGUUAUCAAAUGAUGAUUAAAAUUUUCCAUUAUAUAACCCGGGCACAAGUUGUGAAUCGCAAAUGCGUUUAUGUAAGCAUUAGUUAUAUGUUACGUAUGAUUCUCCCGCAGGAGGUUUUCGUUUGUUUUGUCAACUUACAUUACAAUGAGUCGUGUGUAUUCAAAGCAGGAAAAGGUUGAUGUCUGCGUUGGCAUGGGUUUCAGUUUCACGUUCUCAACUGAGCCCAAACAGAACUUCUAAAAUCUGGGCCCGUUAGUAGAACAUUGGGUCGGAUCAAAACGACCUAUUGGUUGACGUUAUUGCUUGACAAUUGAGCUCCAAUUAAAUGCUUUGUUGUGCGUACAGUCAGUCAAUCAUUUCGGAUUGCUCCUGAUCCUAUGAGAUUGUUGCAGCAGCUACGGACCCUCGAUUGGCGAGCCUUUACUGCAAAAAUCUUUGGGUGUUGCUGCAGCUCAACAUCAAAUCAACUCCCUGUUUGAACACGUAUCCUCAUCUAAUUCUUGGCGGUAAUUGUCAAAGUUGCUUUACAAUCCAGCAGCGCAAGACCUGGCUACAGAAGCCUAUCAGAGGCUCAGAGGCCAGAGCUGCCUCUGUAUGAAGACUAGGACCUGCGCAGCUCCUCUAGCGAAAAAAAAAAGAAAAAAGAAAAAAGAAAAAAGGAAAAUACAACCCAAUUUUGACUCUGACCAAGACACACCGACUCACUCCGCCACCUCGGUCAAACUUACAAUAGUGAUUUAUGAAGAAAUAAUAGGGUGUAGAAGAUUCAAAUCAUUCAACUCCAAGUGGGCAGAACUCUUUUCACUAUGCUUCAGAUUUCUUCUCCAUAAUCAAAAAGGCUUCAGGCUAAAGGUUAAUAAAGUGACCGAAAGUUAAUUUGAAACCCCAAAAAUAGUUUUUAAUAUUGGCUCAGUUUUAGCUUUUUGAACGGCAAGUUUCUUUUGUCCUUUUUGGAAGAAUGAACCUACAUGCAUCUCUCUAUUUAAGAAGUAUAAUGUAUAU